rnacentral:lncRNA from 1 species
CAAGUGUGGACACAGGGAAACACUAAACAGGGAGCUGGCCAGACUGAGCAGUGACAGAGGAAACAUGAUCCAUCUUGGGGAGAGUCUGAGAGGUUACUGGCUCCAGAGGCAAGGAGUAAUAUCUCCAUGAAUGGAUGUUCUCCUCUGGAAACCAAGAAGAAAGGACCUGCUGCCUUCUGGAAUUGGCAAUCACUCCCCAUUUGCAGCCCUAAUUAUACUGCCUACCUGAUUGUGUGACACAAUGUGUUUAGUGCCACUUGGGCAGCCUGUGGAUGUGCCUUCCCUUCCUUCCUGAGUUCUCCCGGGUCCGAGGGCUUCCCCGACUGGGCAUGUGACUUUCCUCGGGGCCAACACACAUCACUCAUCCCCUCGGUGCUGUCACACCUCGAACAAUGUGCCUUCUUUGCAAAGCUCCAAGUCUCGUGUGCUCAGGGGAUGUGCACACGUGGGCUUGUACGUGCCAUGUAUUUGACCUUCUUUUCUCUGUGUGCUUCAAACCCUCCCUGAUGCAGUCAGUGGUCUGCAGGAUCUGUUUGGUGCCGAUGUCACC